rnacentral:rRNA from 1 species
AGAGUUUGAUCCUGGCUCAGGAUGAACGCUGGCGGCGUGCUUAACACAUGCAAGUCGAACGGUGAAAGAGAGCUUGCUCUCUGGAUCAGUGGCGAACGGGUGAGUAACACGUGAGCAAUCUGCCCCUGACUCUGGGAUAACAGCUGGAAACAGCUGCUAAUACCGGAUACGAGUUGCGAAGGCAUCUUCAGCAGCUGGAAAGAAUUUCGGUCAGGGAUGAGCUCGCGGCCUAUCAGCUUGUUGGUGAGGUGAUGGCUCACCAAGGCGUCGACGGGUAGCCGGCCUGAGAGGGUGACCGGCCACACUGGGACUGAGACACGGCCCAGACUCCUACGGGAGGCAGCAGUGGGGAAUAUUGCACAAUGGGCGAAAGCCUGAUGCAGCAACGCCGCGUGAGGGACGACGGCCUUCGGGUUGUAAACCUCUUUUAGCAAGGAAGAAGCGAAAGUGACGGUACUUGCAGAAAAAGCGCCGGCUAACUACGUGCCAGCAGCCGCGGUAAUACGUAGGGCGCAAGCGUUAUCCGGAAUUAUUGGGCGUAAAGAGCUCGUAGGCGGUUUGUCGCGUCUGCUGUGAAAACCCGAGGCUCAACCUCGGGCCUGCAGUGGGUACGGGCAGACUAGAGUGCGGUAGGGGAGAUUGGAACUCCUGGUGUAGCGGUGGAAUGCGCAGAUAUCAGGAAGAACACCGAUGGCGAAGGCAGAUCUCUGGGCCGUAACUGACGCUGAGGAGCGAAAGGGUGGGGAGCAAACAGGCUUAGAUACCCUGGUAGUCAAGGGCGAAUUCGUUUAA